rnacentral:tRNA from 1 species
UCCCUUAUCAUCCAGAAGUUAGGAUUCGGCGCUUUCACUGCCGUGGCCUGGGUUCAAACCCUGAUUGGGGAC